rnacentral:rRNA from 1 species
UACGUAGGGCGCAAGCGUUGUCCGGAAUUAUUGGGCGUAAAGAGCUCGUAGGCGGCUUGUCACGUCGGAUGUGAAAGCCCGAGGCUUAACUCCGGGUCUGCAUUCGAUACGGGCUGGCUAGAGUGUGGUAGGGGAGAUCGGAAUUCCUGGUGUAGCGGUGAAAUGCGCAGAUAUCAGGAGGAACACCGGUGGCGAAGGCGGAUCUCUGGGCCAUUGCUGACGCUGAGGAGCGAAAGCGUGGGGAGCGAACAGG